rnacentral:lncRNA from 1 species
ACUGACUGCUCUUCCAGGGGUCCCGAUUCAAUUCCCAGCAACCACAUGGUGGCUCACAACCACCUGUAAUGAGAUCUGAUGCCCUCUACUGGUGUGUGUACUCAUAUUUAUUUAAAAAAAAAAAAAAAAAAAACCAAAACCUUUAAAAAUAAGAUUAAAAAAAGCAGGCCAUGCAAGACAAGAUGGUAUCUUUGUAAAGUGUUGAUUAUUGUUGGGCACGAGAGCCAGUGUCUGAAUUUUAAAGCUCUAAAAUUUUUCUCUCCCUAGGUUGUUGAGACAGCAUGAAUCUGCUGAAGCCACUGUUCUAAUACAGAAGAGUUUAAAGGCCAGGAAGUGUGGGCUCACACUGGUCAGUUGGAGUCUCUUCUCUGUGUAGAAACGGAGCUGCUGCUGCUUACAGCUCUGAAUUCUCCCGUUUGCAUUGUGCUUCCUACACUUGCCAUAGGUGUGGUGCUGUGGACCAACAGUGAUGCUGUUGCCUGAGAUCUGAGAUACACAACUACAGGCAGGACACAGGGACCUGAUGAAUCGGAACGUCCAUUUUUACAAGGCUCUGGAAGACCCAUUGGCACAUAGUCGAGGAAACACCGUAUCUGUUUUAAGGUUACAGCACGCUGUGAGGAAAAACUAAUGAUGCAAAAGCUGCAAGCAGAAAACCUUAUUUUGUGAUUUAUGCUUAUGAGCAGUCCCAGCACAUGUCAAGAGUAUGCUAUGGGACACAUUUCUAUUUCUACUGUAGAGAGGAUCUGUUGUGCACUGUAUGGAAGCAUCACCUGCCCAUGUAAAGCUGAUGGCUGCUCGCUGAGGCAGGAAGCAAAUAGGUGCAAUUGCGUUCUGGUAGGGAAGAGACGCUGGGAUAAUCGGGUGAGGGGACAGAAUUGCCUUUGACGGUGGAAUAGAAUAAGUUACAAAAGCCAGUCAGAACAAGCCCAAGCUUAUAAUUCAAUCUCAGGUGUCUUUAUUCUGGGAACAAAGAGGAAAAGCCUGCAGCUGCAUUGUUAUAUUUUAUAAUUAUAAUUAAGUUGCUUUUCCACCUUUAUUAUCAAAUUUAGUUGUAUAGUAAAUGUUUAAACCUGAUUUGGUAAAGGUCUUGAACUCAGUAGUGUGGCCCAGCCUGAAACUGGUUUUUGUUUUUCAAAUACAAACUCACAACGACUAGUAGAAAAUUUCAAUUCAAAAGGUUUUUAAUUCCCUUAAAUAUUUCUUACAUGUACUGUUCCACAUUGUGGAAAUAAACUAAGCAGAACAUU